CAAAAACACACAUCUGGGUGUGUUGGAGUUCGACGACCAGAAGGGAAAAAAGGGGGUAAACCCUAGUUGAUCAAAAAUCCAGCAAUUGAUAAGGGAUUUCAAGGUUUAGUUGAUGCAUGAAGCUCAAUUCUCGACCAUCUAACCUUUCUUAACAAACGGGAUAAAGGAGGAGAGUUCGAGUCGCACAAAGCAAGAAGGAAAUCAAGACCGAGGUAAAUCCUCAAUGUUGGCGACUUGGCAAAUUGGAGCGAGCAUAUGCACACUUUAUGAACAUCAAGCGCUUCCGCUAUUAUAUAUUAAUGUUUUGGGUCAAAUUUCCGUUUUUGGAAUGACAUUGUUAGUAGUUACACUUGCUAAUACUUGGUGUAUGGUCUUAGUCGUGUCUAGUUGAACGGGUCGUAAAUUUGUUUGUUUGUUAAUGGUUAAUACAGGGAUAUAUUCGUCUUACGGACGGGUCAUGCCCAAAUUUCGUUAAAAUCACGUGAUAAUGAUACUAGUGUUUUU